rnacentral:rRNA from 1 species
AAUAUCCUUUUUUGCAAGAAAGAGGAUAGUGUUUAUUAGAUACAGAACCAAUACACCAUCUGUUUAUCAGGUGGUGUAAAAAAGGUGAUUCAUAGUAACCGAACGGAUCGCAUUAUGGUCAUUUUAUAUGGCUGGCGAUAGAUCAUUCAAGUUUCUGACCUAUCAGCUUUCGACGGUAGUGUAUUGGACUACCGUGGCAGUGACGGGUAACGGGGAAUUAGGGUUCGAUUCCGGAGAGGGAGCCUGAGAAACGGCUACCACAUCUAAGGAAGGCAGCAGGCGCGCAAAUUACCCAAUCCUGACUCAGGGAGGUAGUGACAAGAAAUAACAACACUGGAAAUUUUAUUUCUAGUGAUUGGAAUGAUGGGAAUUUAAACCCCUUUCAGAGUAACAAUUGGAGGGCAAGUCUGGUGCCAGCAGCCGCGGUAAUUCCAGCUCCAAUAGCGUAUAUUAAAGUUGUUGCAGUUAAAAAGCUUGUAGUUGGAUGUCUGCUGGAAGCAAUCAGUCCGCCCUAUUUGUAGGGUGUGCACUUGAUGAAUUCUGGCAUCUAUGUCCCAAUAAUGUGGUGGUGUAUACCCUGUGUAUUACCCAUCUAUAUUGGGAUAAUACCGUUACUUUGAGAAAAUUAGAGUGUUUGAAGCAGGCUAAUUGCCUUGAAUACUGCAGCAUGGAAUAACAAUAUAGGAUUUCGGUUCUAUUUUGUUGGUUUCUAGGACUGAAAUAAUGAUUAAUAGGGACAGUUGGGGGCAUUCGUAUUUAACUGUCAGA